rnacentral:rRNA from 1 species
UAUUUAUUUAGUUCUGGUUAUGGGAGAAAUAUUGGGCACUAAUCACAUAAGGGGUUUGUAUUGAGUUGUAUGUAAAGAAAUACUUUAUUGUUAGUGAUGGGUUCUUGUUUUUGAGGUAACUCAGAAUAGGGUGUUCUUAUGAGGAAUGGUUAAUUCUCAGUGCCAGCUUCCGCGGUUAAUCUGUAGUUUCGUUCUCCUUAUCAGUUGAAAUUUUUUGGAAGUAAGUGUGUGAAGGUUAAGGUAGAAUUUUCUUUGUUUAGUACAUAGCUUUCAGAGUUAUUUUGUAGGUUUCUUUUAUAAAAGAGGAUUAGAUACCCUCGUAUAGGAGUGUUGUAUUUUGAUGUCUGUAGUGUGAACUAAAAGAAUUUGGCAGCCGAUGAGGUUCGUCCGGGGGAGUGUGUUCUUUAAAAAGACGGUCCGCUUAGUAGUUUACCUCUUUGUUGGGUUAGUGUAUAUCCGGUUUAAGAUCUGUAAUUAGUGUUGCGGGUGGAGAUAUUUGGGUAUUGAAUCCAGGUCUUUGUGCUGCUGAUGGAGAGGGUGGUUAAUGCGCUACAAUGUUAAAAGGCUUUGGUAUGAUUCUAGGGUGAAUUUAGGACUCGGUAGUAGGAAGGAUUUAGUUAGUCUUUUCGAAGAGGAUUUAGUUGGGGUACACACCGCCCGUCACUCAGGGCGUUAGCUCUGAUAAGUCGUAACAUGGUAAUGUUGGGGGAACCGAACGUUAGUAGAUUCAUUGUGUAUUAGGUGGGUUU